rnacentral:rRNA from 1 species
AUACGGAGGAGGCAAGCGUUGUUCGGAAUCAUUGGGCUUAAAGCGCGUGUAGGCGGAUCGGUAAGUGUCUUGUGAAAGCCCUCGGCUCAACCGAGGAAUGGCUGGGCAUACUGCCGAUCUUGAGGCAGGUAGAGGUGACUGGAACGACUGGUGGAGCGGUGAAAUGCGUAGAUAUCAGCUGGAACGCCUGAGGCGAAAGCGGGUCACUGGACCUGUCCUGACGCUGAGACGCGAAAGCGUGGGUAGCGAACAGGAUUAGAUACCCCGGUAGUCC